GAUGAACGCUGGCGGCGUGCCUAAUACAUGCAAGUCGAGCGAACAGACGAGGAGCUUGCUCCUCUGACGUUAGUGGCGGACGGGUGAGUAACACGUGGAUAACCUACCUAUAAGACUGGGAUAACUUCGGGAAACCGGAGCUAAUACCGGAUAAUAUAUUGAACCGCAUGGUUCAAUAGUGAAAGACGGUUUUGCUGUCACUUAUAGAUGGAUCCGCGCCGCAUUAGCUAGUUGGUAAGGUAACGGCUUACCAAGGCGACGAUGCGUAGCCGACCUGAGAGGGUGAUCGGCCACACUGGAACUGAGACACGGUCCAGACUCCUACGGGAGGCAGCAGUAGGGAAUCUUCCGCAAUGGGCGAAAGCCUGACGGAGCAACGCCGCGUGAGUGAUGAAGGUCUUCGGAUCGUAAAACUCUGUUAUUAGAGAAGAACAAAUGUGUAAGUAACUAUGCACGUCUUGACGGUACCUAAUCAGAAAGCCACGGCUAACUACGUG
rnacentral:rRNA from 1 species